GUGAUUGUCUAUCAUAACUUGGAUGGUAAUAAAAUAAAGUAAAAAAAUUUAAAAAGAAAAAUAAUAGAUACUACAAUCAGAUGAUUGACAAGUAUGUAAGGAAGUUUCCACUUGUAUAACAUCAUGCUAGCUAUUAUGACAAAUGCAGGGAUAAAACAGACUCUUAUAGCCUGCUAGAGGAGAUACCAUUUACAUUCAUGAAAAAUGACUGUGUUUAACCUAUUGUAGUUGUAAUUACAUAUCUGUGUGGUUACAGCAGUAGAAAAGGAGUUCGAGAUAGGAGUGAAUACUGUGACCUGAGGUUAUCAUUUCAUCUUUACAAUAUGCUUAGCACUAUGUAAGAAAUUGGAAAUACAAGAAGACAGAGUUCUUAUUCUCAAGAAACUCAGAAUCUCCUGAACCAAGAUUGAAGUUGGGAAAAGCAAUCACUGUCAGAAAGCAAACCCUCUUGUGCCUGGUGCUCAGCUGGAAGAUUGUUCUGGACUCUGGGGAUUAUAUCACCAAAAAUGUUAAAUAAGCAGUUCACCAUGAGUUUCCCACAUGGGGAUUCUGCAAUGCAUGUGCUAAAGUAGGCCAACUGACUCCUGCGUGAGAAAAUGGAAUAGAGCGUUUUAUGCCCCCUGCCCAACUUUAAAUGUCCAUGCUUCUUUUUCUCUAUUUAAAAACAGGUUUAGUGAAUAAUAAACUUUCAAAUUUCCUUCCUUCACAACAACUGACCAUGACUAACUCUUUGUGAAAGAACUCUGAACACUAUAAGGACAUUUGAACUUCUAAAUUUGCUGAAUGGUUGAGUAGAUAUAAACAGGAAAACCUUGAUCUUGACACACAAAUUGACUACUGAAAGCAGGAUGAAGAAAGAGGAAGAAA
rnacentral:lncRNA from 1 species